UGGGGAAUAUUGGACAAUGGGCGAAAGCCUGAUCCAGCCAUGCCGCGUGUGUGAAGAAGGUCUUCCGAUUGUAAAGCACUUUAAGUUGGGAGGAAGGGCAGUAAGCGAAUACCUUGCUGUUUUGACGUUACCGACAGAAUAAGCACCGGCUAACUCUGUGCCAGCAGCCGCGGUAAUACAGAGGGUGCAAGCGUUAAUCGGAAUUACUGGGCGUAAAGCGCGCGUAGGUGGUUCGUUAAGUUGAAUGUGAAAGCCCCGGGCUCAACCUGGGAACUGCAUCCAAAACUGGCGAGCUAGAGUAGGGCAGAGGGUGGUGGAAUUUCCUGUGUAGCGGUGAAAUGCGUAGAUAUAGGAAGGAACACCAGUGGCGAAGGCGACCACCUGGGCUCAUACUGACACUGAGGUGCGAAAGCGUGGGGAGCAAACAGG
rnacentral:rRNA from 1 species